rnacentral:tRNA from 1 species
AUUUGUAACCGAUGACUUACGCCUUACCAUGGCGUUACUCUACCACUGAGUUAAAAGGG